UGGGGAAUUUUGGACAAUGGGGGAAACCCUGAUCCAGCCAUCCCGCGUGUGCGAUGAAGGCCUUCGGGUUGUAAAGCACUUUUGGCAGGAAAGAAACGUCAUGGGUUAAUACCCCGUGAAACUGACGGUACCUGCAGAAUAAGCACCGGCUAACUACGUGCCAGCAGCCGCGGUAAUACGUAGGGUGCAAGCGUUAAUCGGAAUUACUGGGCGUAAAGCGUGCGCAGGCGGUUCGGAAAGAAAGAUGUGAAAUCCCAGAGCUCAACUUUGGAACUGCAUUUUUAACUACCGGGAUAGAGUGUGUCAGAGGGAGGUGGAAUUCCGCGUGUAGCAGUGAAAUGCGUAGAUAUGCGGAGGAAAACCGAUGGCGAAGGCAGCCUCCUGGGAUAACACUGACGCUCAUGCACGAAAGCGUGGGGAGCAAACAGG
rnacentral:rRNA from 1 species